CAUCCUUUAUAACCUGCAGUCUCCUGCCUCCCUGUCAGCAGAGAGGGAUGCCUUCUGGCGAGGGUUACCCCUGCGAUGUCAAGAGUCCCAGUGAGAGCUUGGAUGUGCCAGUGGAAGGGAGCUUUUUAAGCCUUCAGGCAUCUGUUUUGCUAUGAGACUGAAAUACAACCCAAAGAACUGCCAAGAAAGAGAAAUAUCAAGACUCUACUUUCUCUGAAGAAAUCUCAAUUAAAAACUAGCCCCAGCCUGGAGAAAAGCACAAUUAAGAACUGCAAGGAGUACCAUCAGGAAAUCCAGAGUCAGAGUUCUCAGUGCUGCCAAAGUUAGACAAUGCACUUCCCCAUCCUGCCUGUGCAAAAUCCUCAACCAGCCACCGCCACAUGGCACAGAAUGUACAAUGAGUCACUUUGCUGCUCAGGGAAAAGCACUUUCUUCCUACGGCCCUCUUGAAAGUUUUCUACUUUUUUAAAAAAAAAAAAAACAACUUUCCAAUUGAUUGUGGAAAACCUCUGUGUUUAUGUAAAAACUAAAUUUACAAAAGAAGAAGUCAGAAGGAAGAAUCUUUAAUGUUGAGUAGGGACUUCCUGGCAGUCUGCUGGUUAAGACUUCGCCAACCAAUGCAGGGGUGUGGGUUCAGUCCCUGGUCGGGGAGCUAAGACCCCACAUGCCUCUUGGCCAACAAAGCAAAACAUAAAAUAAAAGCAAUAUUGUAACAAAUCCAAUAAAACUUAAAAAGUCUACAUCAAAAAAAAAUCUUAAAAGUAGAAAGAAAAAUAUGUCACCAUAAGCCCUGGUCACAUUUGCUUUUAUAGGCAUUUAUCUGCAUUUUUAAAAAGAAAAGGAAAAAUCUAAGUGGCUAUUUAUAAAGGGCAAAAGCUUUUGGAAGAAUUCCUCAUAGAGGUCUCAGGCUUUCCUGGAGACACAUCACUGGUUUUUCUUUCCCCUGAAUCCUAAAGCUCCCUCUAGUGACCAAGAACUCAACACCGUCUACAGGUGGGGAGAAUAAGCGUUUCUCUAAAGCC